UGGCGCUGUGCAUGAUAGGAAAA
rnacentral:piRNA from 1 species